rnacentral:rRNA from 1 species
AUGUUAUUCAAUCAAGCACUCCUAGCAUGCCAAGCACGGCGACUCAUUGACAGACCCGAGAGAUUAUGCGCUUUGCUAAAAUCUAGAUACUACCUAGAGGAUAAGUUGGAGGACACAGUCUUUUCUGGGAACACAUCGCCCUCUUGGCAAGCAAUUAGCUAGGCACUCGAGCUACUGAAAAAAGGCCUAGUUUGGAGGGUUGGCAGUGGUUCAAGCAUAAGAGUUUGGAGAGAUAACUGGAUACCAAGACCCUCGUUCAAACCAGUGUCUCUCAAAGGUCAUUACCGCAUUCGAUUUGUGUCUGAGCUUCUGAAUGAAUAUGGUUCUUGGAACCUUGAGCUACUACAGAACUAUUUCCUGCCUUGUGAUGUUGAUGAGAUCCUCGGAAUCAGAGCUUCUCCUAGGGAUGAGGAGGAUACCCUAGCAUGGCGACCGGGGAGAGGUGGACAAUUCUCGGUUAAAUCUGCUUAUGACUUCGCUUUUGAGGAAAUGUACAGAGAAUACGAUUUCGCGUCUAGCAGUAAUCCUGAUGGCAGAAGGGGUAUGUGGAAACUGAUUUGGUCUACUGAUGUACCCCCUACUGUACGGAAUUUUGCUUGGAGGGUAGUUACGAAUUCUUUGCCUACUUGGGUCAAUAAGCACAAGAGAACCUUGGAGACUACUAAUGUGUGCCCGGUAUGUGCUUUGGAGCCUGAAAAUAACCACCCCUUGUGUCGAUGCCCUAGAGCUUGGGAAUUAUGGUGUUAUAUGUUGGAUGUGUGGCAGUUUCCGGACGUUGAUCAGGUCCAAUACACAUGCAAGGAGUGGUUAUUCCAUGUUCUGGAGCCCUUGCAUGAGUUUCAAAGAUGCAUGGUUCUGUUGACGUUGUGGCGUUGUUGGUUCAUUCGAAAUGAAAUUUUCCACCAUAAGAAGCCGCCCCCUCUUGAAGUAUCCAAGAGAUUUCUUCUCAGCUAUUUGGAGUCUCUAGUUGCUACAAAGUUAAACUCACAUAUGGAUCCUAAGAAGGGUAAAACAGUGGUAUCAUAUGAUCGCAUCAGNNNNNNNNNNNNNNNNNNNNNNNNNNNNNNCCCCCCAUGGUCUUCUCCACCAGAUGGGUGGGUCAAACUCAACUCAGAUGGGUCUCAUUCAGCAGGAGGGGCUGGUGCAGGUAUGGUGCUUCAAGAUGCUUAGGGAGGUAUAAUAUUCUCUGCUUGCAGGACACUUUACUCUUGCCGGGAAGCUUUAGAGGCAGAGUUGUGUGCGUGCAUGGAGGGUUUAUCGAUUGCGAUCCAGAGAAGCGAGCUCCCAAUUGCCAUUGAGAUGGACUCAUUAGUUGCGGUCAAGAUGGUCCAGGGGCGUGAUCAAGACAGGUCUAUCUAUGCUUCUUUAGUUAAAAGAGAUUAG